rnacentral:rRNA from 1 species
GACGAACGCUGGCGGCGUGCUUAACACAUGCAAGUCGAACGGAAAGGCCCUGCUUUUGUGGGGUGCUCGAGUGGCGAACGGGUGAGUAACACGUGAGUUACCUGCCCUUGACUUUGGGAUAACUUCAGGAAACUGGGGCUAAUACCGGAUAGGAGCUCCUGCUGCAUGGUGGGGGUUGGAAAGUUUCGGUGGUUGGGGAUGGACUCGCGGCUUAUCAGCUUGUUGGUGGGGUAGUGGCUUACCAAGGCUUUGACGGGUAGCCGGCCUGAGAGGGUGACAGGCCAAAUUGGGAUUGAAAUACGGCCCAGACUCCUACGGGAGGGAGCAGUGGGGAAUAGUGCACAAUGGGCGGAAGCAUGAUGCAGCAACGCAGCGUGGGGGAUGACGGCCUUCGGGUUGUAAACCGAUUUCGCCUGUGACGAAGCGUGAGUGACGGUAAUGGGUAAAGAAGCACCGGCUAACUACGUG